CCUACGGGGGGCUGCAGUGAGGAAUAUUGGUCAAUGGACGGGAGUCUGAACCAGCCAAGUAGCGUGAAGGAUGACUGCCCUAUGGGUUGUAAACUUCUUUUAUAUGGGAAUAAAAUGUUCCACGUGUGGGAUUUUGUAUGUACCAUAUGAAUAAGGAUCGGCUAACUCCGUGCCAGCAGCCGCGGUAAUACGGAGGAUCCGAGCGUUAUCCGGAUUUAUUGGGUUUAAAGGGAGCGUAGGUGGAUUGUUAAGUCAGUUGUGAAAGUUUGCGGCUCAACCGUAAAAUUGCAGUUGAAACUGGCAGUCGUGAGUACAGUAGAGGUGGGCGGAAUUCGUGGUGUAGCGGUGAAAUGCUUAGAUAUCACGAAGAACUCCGAUUGCGAAGGCAGCUCACUGGACUGCAACUGACACUGAGGCUCGAAAGUGUGGGUAUCAAACAGGAUUAGAUACCCCAGUAGUC
rnacentral:rRNA from 1 species